rnacentral:rRNA from 1 species
UACGUAUGGUGCAAGCGUUAUCUGGAUUUACUGGGCGUAAAGGGAGCGCAGGCGGUGCGCCAAGUCUGAUGUGAAACCCCGGGGCUCAACCCCGGGCAUGCAUUGGAAACUGGCGGGCUGGAGUGCCGGAGAGGUAAGCGGAAUUCCUAGUGUAGCGGUGAAAUGCGUAGAUAUUAGGAGGAACACCAGUGGCGAAGGCGGCUUACUGGACGGCAACUGACGCUGAGGCUCGAAAGCGUGGGGAGCAAACAGG